CCUACGGGUGGCAGCAGUAGGGAAUCUUUCACAAUGGGCGAAAGCCUGAUGGAGCAACGCCGCGUGCAGGAUGAAGGCCUUCGGGUUGUAAACUGCUUUUAUAAGCGAGAAAUAUGAUGGUAACUUAUGAAUAAGGAUCGGCUCACUACGUGCCAGCAGCCGCGGUCAUACGUAGGAUCCGAGCAUUAUCCGGAGUGACUGGGUGUAAAGAGUGGCGUAUGUGGCAUAAUAAGUAGCUAGUGAAAUCUGGUGGCUCAACCAUUCAGACUAUUAGCUAAACUGUUAAGCUCGAGACCGUUAGGGGUAACUGGAAUGUCUAGUGUAGGAGUGAAAUCCGUAGAUAUUAGAAGGAACACCAAUAGCGUAGGCAGGUUGCUGGGACGGUUCUGACACUAAGGCACGAAAGCGUAGGGAGCAAACGGGAUUAGAUACCCGAGUAGUC
rnacentral:rRNA from 1 species